rnacentral:rRNA from 1 species
UACGGAGGGGGCUAGCGUUGUUCGGAAUUACUGGGCGUAAAGCGUGCGCAGGCGGUAAGGUAAGACUGUUGUGAAAUCCCCGGGCUCAACCUGGGAACUGCAUCUGUGACUGCAUUGCUGGAGUACGGCAGAGGGGGAUGGAAUUCCGCGUGUAGCAGUGAAAUGCGUAGAUAUGCGGAGGAACACCGAUGGCGAAGGCAAUCCCCUGGGCCUGUACUGACGCUCAUGCACGAAAGCGUGGGGAGCAAACAGG